rnacentral:rRNA from 1 species
UGGGGAAUUUUGCGCAAUGGACGAAAGUCUGACGCAGCAACGCCGCGUGGGUGAUGAAGGUCUUCGGAUCGUAAAACCCUGUCGUCAGGGACGAAGGUAAUGUGCCUAAUACGCAUGUUGCUUGACGGUACCUGGAGAGGAAGCCCCGGCUAACUCUGUGCCAGCAGCCGCGGUAAUACAGAGGGGGCAAGCGUUAUUCGGAAUUAUUGGGCGUAAAGGGCGCGUAGGCGGUCUUUUAAGUCAGAUGUGCAAUCCCCGAGCUCAACUUGGGAACUGCAUCUGAGACUGGAAGACUCGAGUGCUGGAGAGGGUGGUAGAAUUCCACGUGUAGCGGUGAAAUGCGUAGAGAUGUGGAGGAAUACCAGUGGCGAAGGCGGCCACCUGGACAGUAACUGACGCUGAGGCGCGAAAGUGUGGGUAGCAAACA